AGCGCUCCUCUCUCUGAGGACACACACACAGAGGAACACAGGUUACCACAGCGCUCCUCUCUCUGAGGACACACACACAGAGACACACAGGUUACCACAGCGCUCCUCUCUCUGAGGACACACACACAGAGGAACACAGGUUACCACAGCGCUCCUCUCUCUGAGGACACACACACAGAGACACAGGUUACCACAGCGCUCCUCUCUCUGAGGACACACACACAGAGGAACACAGGUUACCACAGUGCUCCUCUCUCUGAGGACACA